rnacentral:rRNA from 1 species
UAGUCCACGCCGUAAACGAUGAGAACUAGCCGUUGGGCCCCUUGAGGGCUUAGUGGCGCAGCUAACGCGAUAAGUUCUCCGCCUGGGGAGUACGGCCGCAAGGUUAAAACUCAAAUGAAUUGACGGGGGCCCGCACAAGCGGUGGAGCAUGUUGUUUAAUUCGAUGCAACGCGAAGAACCUUACCACCCCUUGACAUACACGGAACUUUCUAGAGAUAGAUUGGUGCCUUCGGGAACCGUGAUACAGGUGCUGCAUGGCUGUCGUCAGCUCAUGUCGUGAGAUGUUGGGUUAAGUCCCGUAACGAGCGCAACCCUUAUCCUUAUUUGCCAGCGGAUCAUGCCGGGAACUCUAAGGAGACUGCCGGUGACAAACCGGAGGAAGGCGGGGACGAGGUCAAGUCAUCAUGGCCCUUACGGGGUGGGCUACAAACGUGCUACAAUGGAGGGUACAAAGGGCUGCAAACUCGCGAGAGUAAGCGAAUCCCAAAAAACCUUUCGUAGUCCGGAUAGGAGUCUGCAACUCGACU